AUGGCGGCAGUGGCUGGAUGGUUCAAGGUGCUGAUGAUGGAUGUAGUGGUAGGAGGUGGUGUUGUGAAGCGGGUGGUGAAGAUGGAUGGCGCACCUACCACGCCGGCCUGGCCGUGGCGGCGGCCGGAGGUGGAGAAGGAGGCUGGGGGAGAAGGAGAUGUAGCCAGUCCAUUCUUCUUCCUCUUCUUCGUUCUCUUAGCCACUAGUCCCGAUCUUGAAGCUUAUAGUGCCUUUGCGCACUUUUCUGCAAAAGAGACACAAUGA
rnacentral:rRNA from 1 species